GACGAACGCUGGCGGCGUGCUUAACACAUGCAAGUUGAGCGAGGCCCCUCCUUCGGGAGGGUGUCCUAGCGGCGAACGGGUGAGUAACACGUGGGCAACCUGCCCCCGGCUCUGGGAUAACUCCAAGAAAUUGGGGCUAAUACCGGAUAUGACCGCUGACCGCAUGGUCUGGUGGUGGAAAGAUUUAUCGGCUGGGGAUGGGCCCGCGGCCUAUCAGCUUGUUGGUGGGGUAGUGGCCGACCAAGGCGACGACGGGUAGCCGGCCUGAGAGGGUGACCGGCCACACGGGGACUGAGACACGGACCAGACUCCUACGGGAGGCAGCAGUGGGGAAUAUUGCGCAAUGGGCGGAAGCCUGACGCAGCGACGCCGCGUGGGGGAUGACGGCCUUCGGGUUGUAAACCUCUUUCAGCAGGGACGAAGCGAAAGUGACGGUACCUGCAGAAGAAGCACCGGCCAACUACGUGCCAGCCGCCGCCGUAA
rnacentral:rRNA from 1 species